rnacentral:rRNA from 1 species
AGUAAAUUGGUUAAGUUAGAAAGGGCGCACGGUGGAUGCCUUGGCACUAGGAGCCGAAGAAGGACGGGACUAACACCGAUAUGCUUUGGGGAGCUGUACGUAAGCGUUGAUCCAGAGAUUUCCGAAUGGGGGAACCCACUAUCUUUAGUCGGAUAGUAUCCUUACGUGAAUACAUAGCGUGAGGAAGGCAGACCCAGGGAACUGAAACAUCUAAGUACCUGGAGGAAGAGAAAGAAAAAUCGAUUUCCUGAGUAGCGGCGAGCGAAACGGAAAGAGCCCAAACCAAGAAGCUUGCUUCUUGGGGUUGUAGGACACUCUAUACGGAGUUACAAAAGAAAGUUAUAAAUGAAGCGGUCUGGAAAGGCCCGCCAAAGACGGUAACAGCCCGGUAGUUGAAAUGGCUUUCCCUCCAGAGUGGAUCCUGAGUACGGCGGAACACGUGAAAUUCCGUCGGAAUCCGGGAGGACCAUCUCCCAAGGCUAAAUACUCCCUAGUGACCGAUAGUGAACCAGUACCGUGAGGGAAAGGUGAAAAGCACCCCGGAAGGGGAGUGAAACAGUUCCUGAAACCGUGUGCCUACA